UUUAUUUUAGCACACUGCAGUUCAGUUAAUUUAUAAUAUUUAAGAUAUCGACACCAAAAUCCAUUUCAUAAAAUGAAUUUUAUGUGUUAUUUAUGGGGAAGACAUUUAAGGAUUUCAGUAAUUCUUAAAAACAUUUAUAUAUUUUCUUCUGACUUUUUGUUUUACACUAUAUUUUAUAGGCCUUCAUUUGUAUUUGGUGUAGGUUUUGAACUUCAGAUUUAUGUCUCAACACCUCGCAACAAAUUCUGUAAAUAUUCUGUGGGGGCUUGGUCCUGAAACAUAAACACUUCUUCUUAUUGAGGCACUGAAGAAAAACAGACCCCCUCAUUUAUUAUGUGAUAUCCAGGAGGCUAAGGAGAUUUUGAUCUCUUUUUUUUUUUUUUUCAGGAACAUCUUCUUCAGUAAGAAUAAUGAAAUGUCAUCAUGCUAAGAGAUUUGGACCAGCUCUAUAAAUUAAACAGUACGCGAUGACAGCUUUGAGGCGCUGCAGCCAAAAGGAUUCUGGAUUUUCCUGAUGACAGCUGGAACCCUCUCCUGGCCUUUCUCCUUGUCAUUUACAGUUUAUUUAUUUACUUGAACCUCAGACCUGGUGGGAGGAAAUGAGGAAUCCCACGUGGACUCAGCAAAUCUUUGCCAAUAGGCAAGUCCAAGAACUGUUCCCUGGAAACUCUGCUCCCCGUGAAACGCCACCUUCCUCACCUCUCACAGUGCCUCACUCCGUAUAUAGCCUCUGCCUGUCUUGGGGCACAGCUGUGGCUCCGCCAGUGUGACAAGGGGGACCCCCAGCGCGGGAGAGGUCAGGGGUCUGUGGUGUCCCAAUGAGCACAGGGUGCUGUUCUCAGAGACCUCUUGUCCUGUCGCAGUAGCAAUGCCAAGAGGACACCAGGACACCUCUGCUUGUGUACUCAGUAUUACCAGGGUGCAGAAGAGCCGCUGCUGAGGUACAAGCACUCAGGACCCUGAAGAGCUCAACUGUAGUGACUUUUAGCUCAUGCUGAAAACUAAGGAUGGCACAAGGACAUAGCAGAGGAGCAGAGGGAGAGCAGAGGAACUGGGUGUCGCACAUCUCUCUGAAGCAGAUACAUUUCCGUCCAAGCCCAGCUUUCCCUUGUAGAUGGAGAGGCUCCUGUGGGCUGUGACCCACUCCAGAUGCAGAGGGAUGUUGCUGUGGCCCUGCGCUGUGGCAUCUCCCCCAGACAGCUUCCCCACAGCCAGGGUAGCCCAGGGAAAAUAGGAGCUUGAUUUCCAUCAAACCCCAUAAAGGGAAUGUAGUGAAAGACUGUUUUGAAAAGGUUGGAAUAAUGAUAAUGAAGGAAUUUUUGAACUCUUUAUGUAUAACUUCCUCAAAUGUGCAAGUCAGAAGGAAAGAAAGCACAAAGAUGCCUUCCUGAUGAUUUAACAAAUGGUGUUGCCACUCUCAUCUGCCUGGAAUCUACACUUCCAGCUUUCAUGUCUUGGUUCUAAAAAGAACUUAGUACUGCAGUCAGCAUUUGCAGACAUACUUCGAUAUAUUGUAAUUGAAAGAACCUCUUAAAGAGUGAUUUCCAUAGGCAACAAAUCUUACUUUCUAUUUCCUUUUUAUGGACUACUAUUUUAGACAACUGAGUGUUAAAAUCCAUCUGUAUGCUAACGAAAAUUUUUAAUGGCAUCCCUUUUAUAACACUGCUUAAAGCAAACAGCACAUAAUUCUCUGUGUUCUGCUUUAAUAUUGUUUUUGAUUUUACAGAUUUUUUUUUUGUUUUGAAGAUUUAUUUGGGGAAAGAGAGACUUUUGAUCUGACUAGUGUAGUAUCAAUCCUUCAGUCAAUGCCGGGCAGAUUUAAGCAAAUAAAUUCCACUUAAAGUAGAGUGAAAAUUUAAAUUGCUCAGCCUGGGAACAGAGGAGAGACUUCCUUAAAAUAUUUUAAUUUCCCAAAGAAUUUUUGUGUGUGUGUGUGUGUGUGUGUG